GGCAAUGGGCAAUGGGCAAGGAGACACCUGAUUGGUGGUGUUGCUCUUAUAUCAGUCAGGAGCAAAGCAGUUGUACAGUCCUUGUUCAUCCUAGCUUGAUGCCUGUGUUGGUGGUCAGAGCUGUUUCAUGCCUGAGGCACAUAA
rfam:Myotis davidii contig225703, whole genome shotgun sequence.